AAUAGAUACCCGGGUAGUCCACGCCGUAAACGAUGAGUGCUAAGUGUUAGAGGGUUUCCGCCCUUUAGUGCUGCAGCUAACGCAUUAAGCACUCCGCCUGGGGAGUACGGUCGCAAGACUGAAACUCAAAGGAAUUGACGGGGGCCCGCACAAGCGGUGGAGCAUGUGGUUUAAUUCGAAGCAACGCGAAGAACCUUACCAGGUCUUGACAUCCUCUGACAACUCUAGAGAUAGAGCGUUCCCCUUCGGGGGGCAGAGUGACAGGUGGUGCAUGGUUGUCGUCAGCUCGUGUCGUGAGAUGUUGGGUUAAGUCCCGCAACGAGCGCAACCCUUGAUCUUAGUUGCCAGCAUUCAGUUGGGCACUCUAAGGUGACUGCCGGUGACAAACCGGAGGAAGGUGGGGAUGACGUCAAAUCAUCAUGCCCCUUAUGACCUGGGCUACACACGUGCUACAAUGGAUGGUACAAAGGGCUGCGAAACCGCAAGGUGGAGCGAAUCCCAAAAAGCCGGUCUCAGUUCGGA
rnacentral:rRNA from 1 species